GUCUACGGCCAUGCCACCCUGAACAAGCCCCAUGUCUGAUCUCAGAAGCUAAGCAGGGUCAGGCCUGGAUAGUACUUGGAUGGGAGACCACCUAGUGCUGUAGGCA
rnacentral:rRNA from 1 species